GUGGGAUACGGUGACAUGUAUCCAGCCACAGUGUGGGGUAAAAUGGUGGGCUCCAUGUGCGCCAUUGCUGGCGUGCUCACUAUUUCCCUGCCUGUGCCUGUCAUUGUGUCCAAC
rfam:Oryzias latipes DNA, chromosome19, strain: Hd-rR.